AAGACUAUACUUCCCAGCAUCAUUCCUAUGGUUCAUUACUAGAAAAGCUUCUCCAACAGUGUAGAGCACUAAGAACCAGAAGGAGGAGGUGCAGUGUUCUCUCUUUAGUGUGAAGCCAGCUUUGCUCUUUGGAAAGGAGUGAUUCCAUUUUUAAUUUAAGAAUUUUUUUUCUUAAAAUAAUACAACAAAGAGAAUCAAAACACCGGGU